rnacentral:rRNA from 1 species
UACAGAGGGGCAAGCGUUGUUCGGAAUUACUGGGCGUAAAGGGCGCGUAGGCGGCCUGCUAAGUCGAACGUGAAAUCCCUGGGCUCAACCCAGGAACUGCGUCCGAUACUGGUUGGCUUGAAUCCGGGAGAGGGACGUGGAAUUCCAGGUGUAGCGGUGAAAUGCGUAGAGAUCCCGAGGAACUCCUGUGGCGAAGGCGGCUAUCUGGACUGUGAUUGACGCUGAGGCGCGAAAGCGUGGGGAGCAAACAGG